rnacentral:misc_RNA from 1 species
AAGUCGUAACAAGGUUUCCGUAGGUGAACCUGCGGAAGGAUCAUUAAAGAGAUAGGGUCUUCAUGGCCCGACCUCCAACCCUCUGUGUCGUUAAUCACCUACUUGUUUGGCGUUGCAGGACCGUCUCGGUCUCCGAGCGCACUAACCCUCGGGUUGGUGAGCGCCCGCCAGAGUCCAACCAAACUCUUGUAUUAAACCAGUCGUCUGAGUAUAAAAAUUUUAAUUAAAUUAAAAA